AAUCUAUCAACACUCCACAAUACUGUGCACAAACCAUGUUGGCCUCGCCUCACGUGCAGUGAGGUGUUGGUCUUUUGCCAACCAACCAACCCCUAACCGAAAACUACCAUAAUUAGAGGGCGUAGCUUAGAGCUGCACCCUCACGAACCAAGA
rnacentral:misc_RNA from 1 species